UUUAAUUUAGUGAAAAUGUUGGGUACCCUCCUUAACCGUAUAAUGCCAUGGUUCACUUUUUAUUUUAAUAUUGAUCCGAAAUACUUAAAGCUUUUUCCUAUAAUUAAAUCAAAGACUAAAUGCCAUUGCUUCAUCUUUUUAUUAUGCAAAACAUAUCAACUUGCUUUACAACGCUGUGACAGUCUAGAAAUGAUCCUUGGGGAAACAAAGGUGUAAUCAUCUUUUCCACAAAUUCAGAGUUCAAACCGUCGGGACUAUUAUAUACUGGGAUCGUUUUAACGCACAUCUUCAGAUAACAUUAUUCCUGUUUAAAAUUAAAAAAAAAAAAAGAAAUUGAAAAAUACACACAAAAUAAUAAUUGACAUGCAAAGACAUUUUGAAAACUUAUGAUUACUUGUCAAUAAUACAAAACAAAAUGAAAUAAUGAAUCCUACUAGAACGGACUAGAAUUAUCACAACUACUGAAAACAAAUUAGAGGAAUUAAAAACGUUUUUUUUAAAUAUCGCAAAAAUUAAAAUCGCAUUUGAGUCCAAAAUGACAAAAA
rnacentral:lncRNA from 1 species